rnacentral:siRNA from 1 species
AGAAGUCCUUGUGGUGAGCUUCGA